rnacentral:rRNA from 1 species
UUCUGAGAGGAUUCACAGAUUGAGAGUUUAUUUCGUGAUUCAGUGGAUGGUAGUGCAUGUCCGUUCUUACUUGGUGGAGGGAUUUGUCUGGUUAAUUCCGAUAAUGAACGAGACUCUAGCCUAUUAGAUAGGUGCGUGGUUCUCUGCACCUUGCACCCUUCUUAGAAGGACAAGCGGUUCCUAGCCGCACGAAACAGAGCAUUAACAGGUCUGUGAUAUCAUUAGAU